rnacentral:lncRNA from 1 species
CUCAAGUAGAGCUGGGACUACAGUGCACACCACCAUGCCCAGCAAUGUGUGAAAGAGCCUCUUUCCCUACUGCUUCACCAAGUUUAAAACUUCAAAUUUUUUCAACUUGAUAGGGUAUAACCAGGAGUUGCGAAGUGGUCGUAGUUGUUCAUGUCUCAAUCUGGAUCAUCUUUGCUUUUUGCUUCUGCUUUGUGCUAUCCCUCUUCCCGUACCUCAGUUCUAUCUGGAACCAUGAUCUGUGACUGCCAUGGAAAAGUGUUGGGCAGGAGGAGGCCAGCUGGGUCUUUGAAGUUGACAAUGGAGCCAGGAAUGAAAGCUGCACUUAGGAUGAGAAUUGCUUUCCCUGGAGCCAAGUCAGCAAAUGCAGUCUGGUUGUCAGAGCUGAGAGGCUUCACCAAGUCAAGUAGGGGAGGACAUCUUCACUCUGCAACUUGCCCUACUGAAUGCAGAAAGUACUGUCUACUUAGAUAAAGCCUACACUAAAAGGGAAUUGAAUCUCUGCAAAUAAGUAUGUGGAUCUAAUUUCUACCUUCCAGAUUAAAAGUAUAAU